CCUACGGGCGGCAGCAGUGGGGAAUAUUGGACAAUGGGCGAAAGCCUGAUCCAGCCAUGCCGCGUGUAUGAAGAAGGCCUUCGGGUUGUAAAGCACUUUCAGUGGGGAAGAAAGCCUUGGGGCUAAUACCCUCGAGGAAGGACAUCACCCACAGAAGAAGCACCGGCUAACUCCGUGCCAGCAGCCGCGGUAAUACGGAGGGUGCGAGCGUUAAUCGGAAUUACUGGGCGUAAAGCGCGCGUAGGCGGUCUGAUAAGCCGGUUGUGAAAGCCCCGGGCUCAACCUGGGAACGGCAUCCGGAACUGUCAGGCUAGAGUGCAGGAGAGGAAGGUAGAAUUCCCGGUGUAGCGGUGAAAUGCGUAGAGAUCGGGAGGAAUACCAGUGGCGAAGGCGGCCUUCUGGACUGACACCGACGCUGAGGUGCGAAAGCGUGGGUAGCAAACAGGAUUAGAUACCCGAGUAGUC
rnacentral:rRNA from 1 species